rnacentral:rRNA from 1 species
ACACGCAUGACACACUGCAUAUCAAUAAGCGGAGGAAAAGAAACUAACAAGGAUUCCCUUAGUAACGGCGAGUGAAGCGGGAAGAGCUCAAAUUUGAAAUCUUCAAGGUUCUACCUUGACGAAUUGUAGUUUAUAGAAGUGUUUUCUGUUAGUAGGAGUGGCAAAAGUUCUUUGGAAUAGGACAUCAUAGAGGGUGAGAAUCCCGUAUUUGGUCAUUCCUUCUAGCUUUGUGAUACACUUUCAACGAGUCGGAUUGUUUGGGAAUGCAGUCCAAAAUGGGUGGUAAAUUUCAUCUAAAGCUAAAUAUUGGCGAGAGACCGAUAGCGAACAAGUACCGUGAGGGAAAGAUGAAAAGAACUUUGAAAAGAGAGUUAAACAGUACGUGAAAUUGUCAAAAGGGAAGCGUUUGACACCAGUGUUGUUUUUCCGAAAAUCAAUUACGAAUGUUUUAUUUUUGAGAAGUUAUGACUUCAUCGGCUUGCUUCUUCUUUAUGAAACUUUCUUAAUGCACUUUUCGGUUAACAAGUCAACAUCAAUUUCUUUUGUUGUAAAAGGGUAUGAGGAAGGUGGCUUUCUUUUCGGAGAAAGUGUUUAUAGCCUUGUACCUCUGCAAUCGGAGAGAUUGAGGUCUGCAGCGUAGAUCCUUCGGGGUUAGAUACAUUUGUGCUAAGUUAUAGCUUUUCAUAGACAACUUGUUGACUAUGUUAAGUCUUGUAGCUUACUCGCUUAUGCUAUUUUACCUACGCUUAGGAUGUUGACGAGACUGUCGAUCUC